rnacentral:lncRNA from 1 species
CUGAUGUUCAGAGGCCCCGUGGCUGUUAAGGAGCAAGAAAUGAAAGCCAAGUUUUUCUCUGGAAAAAAAAAAAUGACAAAUGCCUCUAAUUACUGCCCAGCUGCAUGUUUGGAACUCCAUCAAACAUAAGCAUCAGAGCCAUUAGCCUGAGAACCUGGACUAGCCUGGGGACAUGAGCCUAUGUUUGAGGCUUUGCUUGGAAGCCAUGAGAGAGUGUCCUGCAGAGGGGGUGUCCCCAGCCAGAUGAGCUCCACACAAGCCUGGGGUGAGUCAGGCCAGCAGGUGGGUGAAUCAGCUAGUGUUCUGUGCUGGCCCCAGGCCAGGAGGACACACUCUCCCUUAUGUACAAGUCACGUUUGAGAGCCGCAUCCGGUCAUGUGCAGAAGGAGUGUCAGGUCAAGGUUAUGUCUUCCUUUUUCUGACAUGAACUGGCCAUUUCUUUGAAGGGUUGUGGAGGUAGGUAGGCAGUCACCUUAAAAGGUUCUGCUUCCGCCGUCUUUCCAUCGCUGCUUUUGAAUGUACUGCUACUAAUAAAGUGAUAGUGUGGACAGCA